CAGGCGGAAGCGCGGUCCUCACGACCCGGAGUGCGAGCACGGAGUAGGUGCUGCACCCUCUACCCUACCGGCGUGUCCGCCCGCCCAUGGCGGGGCAGGCGCUGCAGAGCUCGGGCGUGGGCCUGCGCAGGAUCCUGGCUCACUUCCCCGAGAACCUGAGCCUGGCCUUCGCCUACGGCUCCGCAGUGUACCGCCAGGCGGGACCCAGUGCACAGCAGGAGAAUCCCAUGCUAGACUUGGUGUUCACAGUAGAUGACCCUGUCUCCUGGCACGAAAAGAACCUGAAGAAGAAUUGGAGCCACUACUCCUUCCUCAAACUCUUGGGGCCCAGGAUCAUCGCUUCAGUCCAGAAUAACUUUGGUGCCGGGGUCUACUUCAACCCGCUGAUCAUGUGUGACGGAAAGCUUAUCAAAUAUGGGGUUAUUAGCACUGGCACCCUAAUUGAUGACCUCCUGAACUGGAAUAAUCUGUAUAUUGCUGGACGCCUCCAAAAGCCGGUGAAGAUCGUGUCAAUGAGUGAGAAUGUGACGCUUAGAUCGGCCCUGGAAAAGAACCUGAAGAGUGCGGUGACCGCCGCCUGCCUCAUGCUCCCGGAAAGCUUCUCCGAGGAAGACCUCUUCAUAGAGAUUGCUGGGCUCUCGUACUCAGGUGACUUUCGCAUGGUGAUUGGCGAGGAAAAAGCAAAAGUCUUGAACAUCGUGAAGCCCAACGUAGCCCAUUUCCGAGAGCUCUAUGGGAACAUAUUACAGGAGGACCCCCAGGUGGUGUAUAAAAUGCAGCAAGGCCGACUAGAGAUAGAUAAAAGCCCAGAAGGACAGUUCACUCAGCUAAUGACAUUGCCCAGAACCUUACAGCAGCAAAUCAAUCAUAUCAUGGACCCUCCUGGGAGAAACAGAGAUGUGGAAGAAACCUUGCUGCAAGUGGCUCAAGACCCCGACUGUGGUGAUGUGGUGCGCUUAGGGGUCUCGUCAAUUGUCAGACCUUCAAGCAUCAGUCAGAGCACCAAAGGCCUUUUUACUGCUGAGACCCAUACAUUAAGCAUCUGUACUGUGCUGGCUGCUCAGGAUAUGAAAGUGGGCAUUGGCCAUCUUGCCUCCUAAGCCAGAAAGGGAGACAGACACACGUGUUAAUGGAAAUGGAACAGAAGUAGCUCCCAACCCGAGUGACCUUUCACCCUGUACCCUCUCCCCGGAGGUGGUGUAGCCUGAUGCCUUAGCUGCUGAAAGCUGAAAUUUCUGCCUGUUAACUUCAGUUUGUGUGUGUGAAGAAGUCGGUGAUUUAUAGUUCACGGAAACUGAACAAAAUGUGGAAAGGGUGGUUGACAAAAGCACCCUGACUUGCUGGUGUUUGUGUUGUGUGUAGAUUUUGAAUAAAUGGCUCCGUGCUUUUUGAUGGAGCUUUGUUUAUCACUCUGGCUGGCUGCUUGAAAUUGAGACCAAGGUUUGCUUCAUACUUGGUAGGGUUUAUUUCUGUUAUAUAUUUUGCUUUUAGGCAAGGUCUCACUUUAUAACCCUGGCUAGCCUCAAACUCACCAAGAUCCAUCUGUCUCUACCUCCUGAGUGCCGAUAUUAAAGGCAUGUGCCACUAUG